AAUAUAAGAUAUAGAUAUUACCUUUAACUCUUGAUUUUUUCAACUCCUUGCAAAAACUAAGUCAUGCCAAUUAUUCCAUAAAAACAUAACAGGAAAUGCCUACAAGAUAAGAAAGAAUCACAAUAGAAAAGAACAAAUCAAUAGAUCAGUGCCAAAGAAUAGUAUCACUUUUACUUAUGAUAUAUACUAAGCAUUAGACACAUUUUCUAAUUCUACCAAAUGCUAACUAAAGACAAACAAAAGGGUAUGCUCUAAGCUAAAGACAAACAAAACUUAUAUACUCACAAUAAAUGGUGUCUGACAAUACAUCACGUUCAAUUUAAAUUUUCCACAUGCUAACUUAAGGGUUCAAGAAACCAACCAUAUUAUUUCAAACUUUAACUUCUCGCAUGACAAAUAGAAAAUUCAUUUGAUUAAAGCAACCAAUCCUUAGUGCCAUUGAGUUUGUAAUAUAUCCUGAAAUUUAUGAUAAUAAUCAAUGUCUGUCUAUUGAUAGAACUUGAGAAUAGUAUAUCAUUUCAAUCAGUUG
rnacentral:lncRNA from 1 species